rnacentral:lncRNA from 1 species
CCUCCUCAUAAUCCUUCUCAAGUGCAGCCAUUUCCUUCUCGCCUUACAAGACUCUCCUUCCUCUAUUAGCUCACCCACAUACCAGUGAAAAAAGGCACGCUUGGCAUAUAUCAGGUCAAACUUGUGUUCCAAGUGAGCCCAGGCCUCAGCAAUGGAUGUGGUUUUGCUCAGUAUGCACACAGCUCACUCACUAUACUUUGGCCAGAUCCCCACAAGGUACCACAGUGGAAAGCUGGUAAUUAAUGCCAACUUUUAAGUGAAUGGGGCACCAGUCCACAAAGUGGAUGGCACACUUGCCCUUGGUGGUGGCAAUGGCAGCAUGACAUCUUUGGAAACUACCUUGCCAUGGUACAGUCGGCAGCAAGCCAUGGAUUUACCAUGACAAGGGUCACAUUUUACCAUCUGAUUGGCUGGCUCAAAGCAUGCAUUUGUGAUCUCUGCAAUUGGAAGCUGUUCAUGGUAGGCUUUCUCAGCAGAAAUGACAGGGGCAUAUGUGGCUAGAGAGAAGUAGAUGCAGGGUAGGGCACCAGCUUUAUCUGGAUUUCUGGCAGGUCAACAUUUAGGGCUCCAUCAACUCUGAGGGAAGAAGAGAUGGAGGACACAAUUCGACCUAUCAACCUAUUCAGAUUAGUGUAGGUUGGGAGUUCAAUAUUGAGGUUUCUAUGGCAGAUGUCAUGGAUGGCCUCAUUGUCUACAAGGAAGGCACAAUCAGAGUGCUCCAGGGUAGUGUGGGGAGUGAGGAUGGAGUUGUAGAGCUUAACAGCUAUGGAAACAAGGGGGGCUGGGUAAAUGGAGAACUCCAGCUUGGACUUCUUGUCAUAAUCGACAGAGAGAUGUUCCAUUAGCAGGGAGGUGAA